rnacentral:rRNA from 1 species
UACGUAGGGCGCAAGCGUUGUCCGGAUUUAUUGGGCGUAAAGAGCUCGUAGGCGGUUCGGUAAGUCAGCUGUGAAAUCUCCACGCUCAACGUGGAGGGGUCAGCUGAUACUGCCGUGACUUGAGUCUGGUAGGGGAGUGCGGAAUUCCCGGUGUAGCGGUGAAAUGCGCAGAUAUCGGGAGGAACACCAGUGGCGAAGGCGGCACUCUGGGCCAGUACUGACGCUGAGGAGCGAAAGCGUGGGGAGCGAACAGG